UAAUUUUGUUAAAUGAAGUAUGAUUAAUUGAAUUUUAAGUAUGCUAGUAUAUAUGUGUUUAUCAUGAAAUGAUAUGAUAUUAUAUAUUGUGGGAUAGAUUUAAUCAAUUUCUUAAGGAUCUUCUCCCUUUGGGAUAGAAAUUGAUUAUUUCUUAAGGAUCUUCUCCCAACAAAUGAUUGUUUUAAAUUUCAAACUUUAUUUUUUAUUGCUUUAUAUGUAUUGUAUUAUUGCUUCGAGAUUGGGGGGCCGGGUAGACCUAGUAUAGGCUUAGUAAAUUAGGACCACUAUGGUCACUAUAGCUGCUGGUAGAGUCGAGCACUUGGUAGUUAGGAUAGUGGGGUUAUGCUGUCGAAAUUUCGUUUGAUUCAAGUAAUUUAUGAUAUUUUAUUUAUUUUUUUCAAUUAGAAUUUUCAAGAAUGAGUGAUAAUCGCAUGUGGAUGUAUGCGAGAUACAAUGAUCGUUCUGCAUUUGAAACGGGGUUGGAGAGUUUCCUUGAUUAUGCGAUAAAUCAAAUGGCGUAUACAGAUGGAGUAGGUAACAUUAGGUGCCCGUGUAAGAAGUGCAACAAUGAAGCCUUUUUAUCUGUACCUACAGUCAGAAAACAUGUUACUAGGCGUGGAUUUGUCCACAAUUACACAACUUGGGUUUAUCACGGGGAAGCACCGAUGUGUAUGGGCGACAGAACAUGCUGGACCUAGUAAUUACCAAGUAAUGGAUGAGG
rnacentral:lncRNA from 1 species